rnacentral:rRNA from 1 species
CAGUUCGGAUCGGAGUCUGCAACCCGACUCCGUGAAGCUGGAUUCGCUAGUAAUCGCGCAUCAGCCAUGGCGCGGUGAAUACGUUCCCGGGCCUUGUACACACCGCCCGUCAAGCCAUGGGAGCCGGGGGUGCUUGAAGUGCGUCGCCGCAAGGCGCGCCCUAGAGCAAAACCGGUGACUGGGGCUAAGUCGUAACAAGGUAUC